CCUAAUCCAAUUCUCAUUUUUCGUUGAAACGCAAAGUUUGAAUCGCUGCCAGAGAGAUCUUCUCUGUGACGACCUUCUCUUACCGAUCUCCUCCGGCGACGACCUUCUCUUACCGAUCUCUUCCGGCGACGAUCUCCUCCAACGACGACCUCAUUCGGCGACUUUUUCCUCAGCGGUGAUCUUCUCUGGUGACCUCUCCUCUAACGACAAUCUCCUCCUGUGAUGGUCUCCUCUAGCGGCAUCUCUUACUGCAAUGAUCUCCUCCGGUGGCAUUCUCCUACGCCGGCAAUCUCAUCCAACGAGCUAAUGUGCUAUGAGAGAUUCUCCUCCCACAAGCUCGCGAAAUACAUGAUAGAUUUUACGAAAUGGCAACUACAACUACUGAGCUAGGGUUUCUGAGGAAGGGAUCGUUGAAACAAUUCAUAAUGAUGACAAUGAUGAAGCGCCCGAUGCUGCGGAGAAUGGAGUUGCGGGAGCAAGAUGACUACGAGGUUGUGAGGAAGGUGGGAAGAGGGAAAUACAGUGAGGUCUUUGAGGGCGUUCACUCCCACCGAUAAUGAAAAAUGCAUCAUCAAGAUCCUCAAACUCGUCAAGAAGAAAAAGUAUACUUUUUCACUUCAUUCCAUCCUCAUAUGGCAAUGAAUGUUGUGCCGGGGCUUCAAUGGACAACUUUGGUCCAGUAGUUUAUUUAGUUUGUUAUUAAAUUUCUAAUUUCAAACCUGUAAGAUUUUACCCUUUCCAAUAUUCUGGUUGUAUAUAUAAGUUUGUACAUCUUAUAAGUUGUUAUUCUGGUUGCAGUUAAAGAGGGAGAUCAAAAUAUUGCAUAAUCUUUGUGGAGGUCCCAAUGUUAUAAAGCUACUUGACAUUGUUAGGGACCAGCAAUCAAAGACCCCAAGCCUUAUAUUUGAAUAUGUCAAUAACACUGAUUUUAAAGUUCUCUACCCCACCCUGUCAGAUUAUGAUAUUCGAUAUUAUAUCUAUGAACUUCUAAAGGUAAGUUUUAUACUCUAUUGGUUGUCUAAGAUCAGCUGUUAUAUCUUAUUUUUGCAGUCAUUAUUUGUUUGACAUAUUUCUAGACAUUAUCUAUGCCAAUGCUUCGUGGAAAAUUUAGUUAUUAUUUUUGUAUUUUUCUUUACGGUGAAAUAUUAGAAAGUGGUUGAGUAAUUGCUGCAUAGCUCUUUGACAGCUUCUUCUACAUUAAUCCUCCGAUAGAUGCAAUUAAAGAAUGAAUUGGUUGAGGUUUGAAAUAGGUUGUAGAGUGGCUUGUAAGGAAGUUGAUUUUGAUUUUUGAAAAUCACUUCCAUUGCUUAUAAAUAAUGCAUAGCAGGAAAAUAGACUUUUUCACUAAAUGCACUUGUAAUAUCAAUAUCUACUAAGUUGAUAUUUAGUCUUUGAAGAUAAUACAAUCAAGGCAAGGAGAUAUUGGGAACUACUACGGUGUUCAGCUUCUUGAUGCUUCAGUGACAAAAUACCAAGAUUAUGGUCACUAACAACUUACUCACCCUCUUGUGAUAUACAUUGGAGAGACACGUGGAGUGGAGGGAUUGGGUGAGAGGUUAGAGCUUAACUGUGUCAGCAAGUUUAGCCAUUGACUUCAUGUGGUAGCUGUCUUGAAGGUUACUUUUCUUUGUCUUAUGCUUUGUUUGUUUAGAAUUGGUCAUUUUUUGUCUUAUUAAUUCCGAUUGACGCAACAAAUUUAAAUUGCAACUUUAGGAAGCUUUCAAACUUCUGCACAACCAAUAAUGUAUCACGUAUACAAUUUUGUUAAUAAAUUAGUAUUUGGAUCAUUUUUGUUAAUAAAUUUUUCAACCAUGAAAAUGGUUAUAUUAUCCAUUUUAAAUUAUACGAUGAGACAAUUUAGUUUUCCAAACAAGUAACAGCCAAGCUAAACCAUUGCUUGUGUUAUACAAUGCUUCAUUUUGCAGGUAACUAAUUCGGCUAUCUAUAUCAUGUUAAAAAAUCAUAAGGCUAAUGUCCAAGACUCUUCUGAUCUACAAAAUUGUUAAUAGGAAAGGGUCAAAGUUCCCUUCAAAUCUGAAGGGAAGGGAAACUUCAGAACAGUGAGCUUCAAGUUCAAAGCAGUUGCACCAAGAACAAGACUCACAUUUUACAGCUCCUUUUACCAUACCAGAAUUGAUGAUUAUGGAUCUCUCUGUGGCCCUGUUCUUGACCAGAGUUAGCUUUUUAAGAAGCAAUGAACAUUGAAUCAUGACGGUGUAUCACGGUGUAGUGCAGGGAGGUAGUCUGAGAUCAAACGGCUCUCCUUUUCAUCACACUCGUAUCGUACCUCUGUCGAUCUUAAGGACAAGUGGAGCAAUUUCCUCAAGGCUAGCUUUGCUCAGGCACCUGCAAAUGAAGGGAUGAACGUGCGGAAGCAUGGUACAACGCCAAUCCUGGAACCGAUUUUGCUACGAGUACGAGAGAUUAAAAAGGGGGCUGCUUCCGUGGAAGGAGUAGAAGCAAAAUUCUAGCAGGUACCUGUGAAACACUGCCUGAAGAGGUACUUGGGAAGAUGGGAGCACCUCCAAAGAGUGAUGUGCCGAUUAUUACACCCAAUGAGCUACCUGAGGUUGCUGGUUUAUUGCUUGGAUUUCCAACGAGAUUUGGACUCAUGGCUGCUCAGUUUAAGGCAUUCUUGGAUGCAACUGGAGGCCUAUGGUGUACACAGGCACUAGCAGGAAAGCCUGCUGGAAUUUUUUACAGCACCGAUUCUCAAGGAGGCAGACAGGAAACCACCCCAUAAUAUUUAUUCACACGGACAUGAACAAUGAAAAUGUUGGAAGGGUCUGUUGCAAACUUUUUGAGCAUCUCUAGGAAAACUCCCAAUGUAAUAGAACUAAUAAUAUUUCUUAGUUUGAUAUUUUGUAUAGGAAUUAUUACUUUUGAUUUGCAAUACUAAAAAAGUAUAUAUUAUGUUUAAUACUGAGUUAAAUAAUAUUUUGUCUAUGAA